rnacentral:rRNA from 1 species
CAAUAGCGUAUAUUAAAGUUGUUGCAGUUAGAACGCUCGUAGUCGGAUUUCGGGGCGGGCCGACCGGUCUGCCGAUGGGUACGCACUGGUCGGCGCGUCCUUCCUUCGGAGACCGUUCCUACUCUUAACUGAGCGGGGGCGGGAGACGGAUCGUUUACUUUGAAAAAAUCAGAGUGUUUCAAGCAGGCAGCUCGCUCUUGCAUGGAUUAGCAUGGGAUAAUGAAAUAGGACUUUGGUGCUAUUUUGUUGGUUUCGAACACCGAAGUAAUGAUUAAAAGGGACAGUCAGGGGCACUCGUAUUCCGCCGAGAGAGGUGAAAUUCUCAGACCAGCGGAAGACGAACUACUGCGAAAGCAUUUGCCAGGGAUGUUUUCACUGA